CUCUUCUUUCUUUUAAAAAUUUGUUAUACAGAAUCAAGGUGGAAAAGCUUUCUGAAGAAAUCACGCUCUUGAAAAAUGAGGUGGGGAAGAUCUGACAAGAGCUUGAAGCUUCAGAAAGGACAGAGGCUGCACAGAGGCGGAUUCUUUACCGUCUGAACUACCAGGAAAUGGAGUGUGGGCAUCAGAUAAAUGGACUCUUCAGAAAUCGUGAGCUUUCCUGGACACGCCCUUACCUUGUGGGGUGGCCUACCAGCUGUAUGGAGCCACCCAGAGGCUGUGGCUGGCCCGGUCCCAGCACGCCCAGCGGGUGCAGCAGUCGCAGGAGGAGAUGGCACAGCGCGUGCCCACAGGCCGUGUGGCCGAGCUGCAGCAGCUGCUGGAAGGGGAGCAGCGGGCGGCUUGGCAGCUCCAGGAGGAGGCGCAGGAAGCACAUGAAAAACAGCUGGAAGCAACAGAAGAGCAGGUGGAGGAGGUGGGGAUGACUUAGAAGAACAUGGAAGUGCUCCUCCAAGAGAAAGUGGGUGAGCUGAAGGAACAGGUGAGUGAUGGACGCCUCCUUUGGGCGACUGGGUAACUAAUGAGCGAGACAGGACCCAAGAGAACCCUGUGUCCUGCGGAAGUGCUGAGGAGGGGAGAGGAGGGCAGGGAGAGAGGGGAGAGAGAGGCCUUGCUGUCCUGUGAGGUCGGCUUGGUGCUCUGGGAAGUGAAAUGUGAGCAUCUGUGGAGAUACUUCUCUCACACAGGGACCGAAUGUGGUUUAUCUGGAGCGCCCUGGGCCGCGGGUCCCCAGUUCUAGUCUCUCUGUGCAGGCUGCCCGCUCCAGAGCCCCACUCCCCAUCUGUGUAGCCCCUGCCCUGCCCGCACCGCCACCCUCCAGCCUUGUCUGUCCCCAGGUCCUCACUUUCCUUCCCAGCCGUCCGGCUCUUGGUGACCCCACUACCCUCCAGUCACUCUUAGCAAAACCUCAACCCCAAGUAAAUCUUAAGGCUCCUACAUGCCAGAGGUACAUCCUCAGAGUAGACAGUGGCUUUUCUGGUGGCCUUGAGAUUCUGCAGGUCCUGGCCCCUCCCCUCAGGCCCUUGCCCAGCCGGCGUGGCAGCUCAGCCUUCCUCACGGGCCUCCUGGCUGUUCCUGUCACCCCCGCAUGUGCCGGCCUCUGCCCGGGAGGUUUACCCAGGCAGCCUCCCCCACGUCCCCCAUGCUCCUCUCAGGGCUGUCUGUUCACCUCAGACUCACCGUGUGUCCCCCGCCUGGCUUCUCUGUGAACACGCCAGCUGACCCUGCGUGCUCUGCUGGCUCCUCCCGUUAGAACACGUGCCUGUGGGAGCAGGGCCGCGGCCGGGCAGCACUUGGCCCGCAGAGCUGCUCAGUAGCUACUUGAGUGAGUGAACUCAGCGCGGACUGUCAAAGCCCAAAGCCGGGACCCCUGUGUCUUUGCAUCUUGACCGUGUGUCCUGUGUCCCCAUCGCUGGAGCCCCUGUCAGUGUUGUGUGGGCGGCACCCAAGGAGCCUCAGCGCGUCCUGCUGACAUGGUGGGCCUGCAGAGCCCACUGAGAUAAGCCAAACAGUUCGGGUGCUCCUGACAGGUUCCUCCUUGUCUUUUGGAGGCCUCCAAAUUUGGGUCUUCUUGUCUUCAUUUCGUGGUAACCCAGUUUGUACAAAGGUGGCUUAAAUUUUCUCUACCACAUAGUUCGUCAGUUUCCUCUCUCAUGCCAGGAUAACAAAACCUGUCAUUGCAUCCAACAUGUCUCUGAUUUGUAAGGUUCCCCAAGCUAGUCUGAACGCGUGUGGAGGAAUAGGAAGGGAGAGCUGGUGGCGUGGCUUGGCUGCGUGAGACGUACAGUACACUGUGGCUUUCUCCCCUCUCCAGUUUGAAAAGAGCACAGGAUCUGAUCUGCUGCUCAAGGAGCUCUAUGUGGAAAAUGCCCACCUGACAAAAGCGCUUCAAGUCACUGAGGAGAAGCAACGAGGCACUGAGAAAAAGUCCCUAUUCUUGUACGGAAAAGUUAGAACUCUCAGCAAACUCCUCAGCAAGAUUGCUACAGCUUCCCUCGCUGUGUAAACUGCUUUUCUUCCUGGAGUUCAUUUUGAAGGAAUGUCUAUUAAAGUAAACCAGUGUGACACCGUAACUUAUUGUGGCUCACUGGCUGUACACCCCUGGAUAAACGAGGAUUGUGAUUCUGUUUACCCCACAAGCAUUUAAUGAAGGGUUGUGUGCCAAAUGCCUGGGAAACACGUUGGAAAGGACUAUUUUUUUUUUUUCAGUGGUCCUUGGGUAACUUCCAGAGUUACAUUCCUAAUUUUGCUACUGAAAAACAAACCAGAUUAUGGGGUUCUCAGCAAGGUAAAUGGUAAAAUAAAACAAUUUUAAUCUUGCACUUCUGACCUUGGCUACAGAGAUUAAAAUGCAAAGUCAGGGCUCUGUAGUUUUACCAUUGCACUGUUAGUUCUAUGGGUUUAGUCACUGGCAUUCUCGAUGGUGGAUCGGUGUAGACACUCCAGAAAUGCUACACUUUCUGUAACUUUCAACUAUUGAUAAGGGAUAGAGGAAGGAAGCCUUUUUGUCAGGGCCUGUUGCACCACGAGGGAGGUCUAGACAGUGCUGGUGUUUUAGGGCUGUGGACUCAGGGAGGAUGGUAUCGUAUCCAUUGUGAAUGCAAUCUUUUCCUCACUGAAGUGUCAUCACACUGCAAAGUGUAUUAUAUGUUUAAAAACCAGGAAAAAAGUACAGUUUUAUAUUCAAGAUAUACAUAAAUUAUGAUCAUUUGAUUGAUCAGAAUUAACUACUGUAAUAUGAAGUCACUAUCUGCAAUAAAAUCCUUUUCUAUUAAAAUGGAUUAACUUCUAAAUAUUUUUUAAACUAAAAUAUUUCAAAGAUAUAGAAAAAUAGUUCUAUAGGAAACAUUCAUAUGUAUUCCAUAAACAUGCAGAUGUGUUAAGAACAUUGUCACAUCUUGGACAGAAGCCCAGUCCCUGUUCUACUGCAGCCAACCUCUUUCCUCUUCCUGGUGGCAACCGCUCUCCUGAGGCUGCUGCAAGCCCCUUCCCCUCCAUCUGUCUGCACAUUUACUGUACGUGCUUGAACGAGAAAAACCUUAAACCGCUGGAAGAGAUGGAAAGCUCAGAUCUGGGGUAGGAGGGCUCAACAGCAUAAUGUGGACUCUUCUCUCCAUGCA
rnacentral:lncRNA from 1 species